rfam:Echinostoma caproni strain Egypt genome assembly, scaffold: ECPE_scaffold0014328
AUUUGGUUGGCGUAGUGGUAACGCACAUGUCUUCCAUGCAAUAGAUCCAGAGUUCAAAUCUCGGACGGGACA